rnacentral:rRNA from 1 species
UACAGAGGGGGCUAGCGUUGUUCGGAAUUACUGGGCGUAAAGGGCGCGUAGGUGGCCUGUUAAGUCGAACGUGAAAUCCCCGGGCUCAACCCGGGAACUGCGUCCGAGACUGGCAGGCUCGAAUCCGGGAGAGGGAUGUGGAAUUCCAGGUGUAGCGGUGAAAUGCGUAGAUAUCAGGAGGAAUACCGGUGGUGUAGACGGCUCUCUGGACCGCGACUGACGCUGAGACACGAAAGCGUGGGUAGCAAACAGG